rnacentral:rRNA from 1 species
GACGAACGCUGGCGGCGUGCCUAAUACAUGCAAGUCGAACGCAGUGGGGACGGGUGAGUAACACGUGGGUAACCUCCCAUCAGAGGGGAUAACACUUGGAAACAGGUGCUAAACCGAUACUGAUGGAUGGACCCGCGGUGCAUUAGCUAGUUGGUGAGGUAACGGCUCACCAAGGCCACGAUGCAUAGCGUGUCUGAGAGGGUGAUCGGCCACACUGGGACUGAGACACGGCCCAGACUCCUACGUGAGGCAGCAGUAGGGAAUCUUCGGCAAUGGACGAAAGUCUGACCGAGCAAUGCCGCGUGUGUGAAGAAGGUUUUCGGAUUGUAAAACUCUGUUAUUAGAGAGGCGGUAUCGAACCAGGAAGCCACGGCUAACUCCGUGCCAGCAGCCGCGGUAAUAC